GCGGGCGUGGCGGAAUGGCAGACGCGCUAGACUUAGGAUCUAGUGCCUUGCGGCGUAAGAGUUCAAGUCUCUUCGUCCGCACCA
rnacentral:tRNA from 1 species